CUACAAUUAAAGCUAAUAAUAAGUAAUUUACAAGUUCUACAUUUAGUUUGCAAUUGAAAUAUUUAUAAAGAAAUAAAUACAAUAUCUUCCAUCUCAAGAUUAGGGAAAACAGAAACAAAGUUACUUUUGUAAUUGUUACAUAAUGCAAUAUGAAAAAACGCAUAAUAUCACAUGAUUCUCUUCUAAUUACAUAUGGUAUAAGUAAAUUGGUUUCCUCUAUGAAAUCAUUAAUAAAAAACCCUUCCAUGCAGUAAAACAAGAAGGAAAGAAGGAAACGUUGUUUAAUUGGUCUAUGUUUUCAUUCAUAAGAAGUUUGUAAUUGUUAUGACUAAUUCAUAAGUGGCAAAGCAUGUGAAUAAAACAUGACUAUAUUUAGGCGAUUCCAACGUCCAGCAUCCUUAUCCGAACAUAUAAAACAGUAACGAGAUUAUAGCUCAACAUUAAAUGUGGUCGAGGAAACGACAAGCACAAAUUUAACCAGAUUAAACAUUAACGGAGCAUUAACAGAAGCAGAAUUAAAACGAGCGAACACUAACAAUUAUAAUAAAUAUUCAGGUAAAAUGGGUUCUACCAAAGUGAUACUCUUGGUUGGGUUGCUUGUUCUGGCAGCUGUUAUUGAGAAUGGGCAAUGUCAGAGACGCCAAAGGUUGUGCAGAAUGAAUAGAACAUCCGGUGCAUGUAAGGAUAUUGUAAUAAAAGGAGAUGGUGGUUCAUCAAGGACUUCUGGUCGGUGUGCUGAGAAAGGCGGUACGUGUGAGAUCAUAUCAAUAAGGAGGAAGGCAAGAUGUGUUUGUGCUAUCAUGUUUGAUGUUUAAAAUUACAUUUCCAGCCGAUUGUGCCGAUAUUUGACCAGUAUCAUGUAAGCGUAAAUAAAUAACUGAAUUCAAUUCACUGACAAUCUUUAUAUGGCUUGGAGUCGCCUAUGUUUACAUAAUUAUGUUUGAGCAAACGUUAGAAAUCGGUAAAGCUUGAGAAAAAACGUUUGUAUGUUGUUGAACACAAGCUGAAAGAAAUGAAAUAUCAUCCGCUUCCUAUGAUUAAAUCUACCAGUUGCUACAAGAAUAAAACAUACAGAAUGUUUUCAGCCGAAUGUUGGAAACAGAAAAAUGAGAUCAGGUUUACUUCACCAAUUUUAUUUUAAAUUGUUCAUUACAUAAUGACAAUGGUAAGGAGUUGGUGAAAUAUUACACUUUUGAUGCCUGGUUGAUUCCUCCUUUGCUGUUGGCAAUUUUACUUGUAAACGUUAUUCUUGCAUACAUAUCAAUGUCCAGUACUUUUUAGGGGAAAAUUUAUAUUAUUAUUUUUCAUCAUUUAUUUACUUGCUUCUUUUUGUUAUUCAUUUGCCCGUUCAUGUAUUUUUAUCAUUUUAUGUGAAAUAGGUUAGUUAGAUUGAUUAAUCGAUAUUAGCUAUUUAUUCAGAGCAGUUUUCAUCAUCCAAAUAUGUUUACUUUAUGCAUCAGAGCUUAAGUUCGUUCGAUUCACGCUAUUAUUAUAUAAGGGUUGUCAAAUUGUCUUAGUCAUACUAUUGUAAUCCCGUUUUUUCUAGAUCAUGACUUGUAGCAUGUGUAAAUGUUGAGUUCUGCUCAACUCUGGGCUAGAGGGCGUUGACGGUAGCAUGCAGUUCCACUACCGUCCAUGAACAGGCUCAAUCAAACCGAGCCUGCAACAUUUUCGAUUUUGUCGUGUUUAGCGACCUGUGGAGUUUCCACUUUUUCUAUUUUACAUCAUUUUGACAUAUUGUGAUAUGUAUUUAUUUAUAAUAUUUAUGAGUGGCAAUCUCAAGUGUUAUUUAUUCUUUUUACUUAACGUUAAUGUUCGUUACAAGAGUAAUAUAUAUAUAAUAAGAUAAUUUUACAUACA